rnacentral:rRNA from 1 species
AUUGAACGCUGGCGGCAUGCCUUACACAUGCAAGUCGAACGGCAGCACGGGAGCAAUCCUGGUGGCGAGUGGCGAACGGGUGAGUAAUAUAUCGGAACGUGCCCGGUCGUGGGGAUAACGUAGCGAAAGCUACGCUAAUACCGCAUACGAUCUACGGAUGAAAGCGGGGGAUCGCAAGACCUCGCGCGAUUGGAGCGGCCGAUAUCAGAUUAGGUAGUUGGUGAGGUAAAGGCUCACCAAGCCGACGAUCUGUAGCUGGUCUGAGAGGACGACCAGCCACACUGGGACUGAGACACGGCCCAGACUCCUACGGGAGGCAGCAGUGGGGAAUUUUGGACAAUGGGCGCAAGCCUGAUCCAGCAAUGCCGCGUGCAGGAUGAAGGCCUUCGGUGUUAAACUGCUUUUGUACGGUAACGAAACGGUAG